CUUUCAGUGGGAAGGCAAUAGUUAUAUAUUUUCUUUUGGAAAAUCUAUACUUAUUUCAAGCACUUUGAGGCAAGUUUAGGGUAGCUUUCUACUCCACUUAGCUUGCUAUUUACUUCCCUAAGGAGAGCUUUCCACAUACCAAAUAGUCUCCCAGAAAGAGUGCUGGGAAUUUUCAGUGUAACACAGACACAACAAUCAGGAUUCAUUUAACUAACAUCUAAAAAUUAGCUAUUUAAGCCUGAUUUAGGCAUCUUUAGAUAUUUUCACCGCCUAUAGAAAGAAAGACGUUUGACUACAGCAUGUUUUAUCCUAGUUCAGGAGUGGGAUCAAAGGCAGAUCAAAUAAAUUCUCUUAUGGCUCUAUCUGCCCUACAGAAGGCAUGAACUGAUUAACUCAAAUAUAGACACCUGCCUUUGACACAUCUAUAUUUAUAUCCUAAAUGAUAGCCACUAAUACGUGCCAGCUACCUUGUUAGAAAAUGCAGGUGUCUGCCAUCUGAAAUCUGUGUCAAUCUACAGCAGCUAAGAGCCCAUUGUGGUCCUUCUUAGCAAAUUGACCAUGGUGCUUCUGGGUGCUGUAAAAUCAUCAUACUGUUCGUAGAAAGAAAAUAUAAGGACUGAUAUAUUAAAUAGUAUAUUUUAAGAAAAAGUGAAGUGGCAGCUUUUAUUUGCAGUGCACACUGUAUUUCAUAGUCUGGAAAUUCUCACUAGAAAAACCAGAAAACCAAAUUACUUCUUAUGAUGUUUUAUGGCUCAGUCAAGCCACUUUUGUAUGUAAAGGUAGCUUUUUCAUUGCAUUCAGUGGUAUAAGAUAAGGCUGUAGAAUUGUGCAACAAACCUGCCAGCUUUAAAAGCUUUUAGAUAAUAAACAUUUUGAUUAUUUUUUUUAAUGUAAGUAAAUCCCUACCUACAAGCUGUUACUGCCAUUGAGUCUAGCAACACCUGUGCCUGCUUCCACAGGUGCUGGGGGUUGCAAUCGCUUUGAGUGACUAUUGAAAGGCUAUGAGCAAUUGUACUCACAGUGCUUGAGGAUGAAAGGAAUUUGCUGAAAGAAAGUUCCCAAGAUACUAUUUAGGGGUGAUCCAAGAAGAGAAACAAGAUGUGAGUAAGAAGCAAUGUGAGCAGAAGAAUUGUAAACAGGCUGGUGGCCUCUAGUUCUCCUUCUGUCUCUGAGUGAGGAACUGACAGUAUUUAAGAUAUCCCUAACUCAUGAGAGGGUAUGAGAAGAGGUCUUUCCUGUCUCCUCAUAUUGCAAAAAUGGUAUUUAUUAAAUCAGCCACAAGGCCAGGAAAUCCCACAGGAUAUCUGAGGUCAAGGUUUAUCAUAAAGUUCUAACAUUUAUUAAUGACGCAUCUCAACAGAUUUCAGAGGCUGUCUGUUGGUGACUAUGCUUAAGGGAGGAGGAUGUGUCCAACUUUCACACAGGAAGCAGAUGUUUGGAUUCUGGGUGCUGCUUCAGUCCAUGUUCAUUUCUUAAACCACAGGAGAGUGUUCCAAAGGCUGAGUGAUAAGCUUGAAUGGAAUGGGAUCCUGCUCCCCUGCUUUCAAAGAACUGGCCACUACAGGAAGAAACAUUGAAACAUUUCAUUCAUGAGUGGGAUCAAAUUUGCUUAAUUCCUGCCAAGUCUCCACCAGAAAAGGAAUUUCCAACAGCCACUGGAGAUAAAGAUGAUCAGAGUUCCAAUAUGGCCAUGCUGUUGAAAGGAAAGCACUGAAUACACAGCUCAUUUAUCAAGGCAAAAGUGUUUAACUAUGACCUUAAGCACAUGCUGCUGCUUGUUAGUUUAACUGAAGCUACACAAACAUGAUAAAAGAUCUGCAAGAAGAUAAUUUUCUUUGAAAAUCACAGCCAAAUACAGAUUUCUUCUAAUGGCCAUGCCUCAUGCUAUGUUUUUCAUUGGUCCUGGGCAAAAAGGAAAAAAAAAAAACAAAGCAGAAAACAAAACAGAACAAAACAAAACAAAACAACAACAACAACAACAACUUGGAAGAGCCUGGAAAAGUCUCUCACUUUUUAGCCAAGGGUUCUGAAUACCGCCAACUGGGUCAUUACUGAGAAGCUUGUGUAUUUACACUUUAUCACGUUAGUUGGCAGUCACACACCCCAAAGAAAAGGACCUGAAUAUAGAGUUGAGAAAGGCCACUUGUUCUGCCAACAAAGUGCAUUGUGCAAAAAUACUUUGACAAUCAAUUAUUAAGUAUACAGAGAUGACAACUCAUAUACAUGUAUAGAAAUCAAUAACCUUUGGGCACUUAAUCCCCAGGGAUCACAGCAGACAGUGACAGAAAGUAUCAAGGUCAGUUAUAAUGAAGUCAAAGUGAUAAAGAACAGAUGCAACCUGCUCUAGCCCUAAGAAAGAACACAUUAAAGACGUGGUGAAAAUUUUAUUUUUCUUUAGUGAAAUUGCAAUAUAAUAUCUCGCUAUGAGUAUUAGAAAAUAAAGAUCAUAUUCAAGA